rnacentral:sRNA from 2 species
CUUGUUCGGUGUUAACAAAUAGAAAGACUUUCUUUAAAGUGAUUCUUAUUGAAAUUGAGCAGAGAUAGUAAUAUAUUCGUGGAUUUUCCACACAGGAGGUACUACAAUGGUACAAGGUAAAGUAAAAUGGUUUAAUGCAGAAAAAGGUUUUGGAUUCAUCGAAGUAGAAGGACAAGACGACGUAUUCGUACACUUCUCAGCUAUCCAAGGCGAAGGUUUCAAAUCACUUGAAGAAGGUCAAGAAGUUACAUUUGAAAUCGAAGAUGGAGCUCGUGGACCACAAGCUGCUAACGUUCAAAAGUAAUUGAUUAAGAAGCUGUCACUAAUGUGACAGCUUCUUUU